rnacentral:rRNA from 1 species
UACAGAGGGGGCAAGCGUUGUUCGGAAUUACUGGGCGUAAAGGACGCGCAGGUGGCCUUCUAAGUCAUGCGUGAAAUCCCCGGGCUCAACCCGGGAACUGCGUCUGAUACUGGAAGGCUUGAAUCCGGGAGAGGGAUGCGGAAUUCCAGGUGUAGCGGUGAAAUGCGUAGAUAUCUGGAGGAACACCGGUGGCGAAGGCGGCAUCCUGGACCGGUAUUGACACUGAGGCGCGAAAGCCAGGGGAGCAAACGGG